rnacentral:rRNA from 1 species
UAGGGAAUCUUCGGCAAUGGACGAAAGUCUGACCGAGCAACGCCGCGCGUGUGAAGAAGGUUUUCGGAUCGUAAAACUCUGUUGUUAGAGAAGAACAAGGACGUUAGUAACUGAACGUCCCCUGACGGUAUCUAACCAGAAAGCCACGGCUAACUACGUGCCAGCAGCCGCGGUAAUACGUAGGUGGCAAGCGUUGUCCGGAUUUAUUGGGCGUAAAGCGAGCGCAGGCGGUUUCUUAAGUCUGAUGUGAAAGCCCCCGGCUCAACCGGGGAGGGUUAUUGGAAACUGGGGGACUUGAGUGCAGAAGAGGAGAGUGGAAUUCCAUGUGUAGCGGUGAAAUGCGUAGAUGUAUGGAGGAACAGCAGUGGCGAAGGCGGCUCUCUGGUCUGUAACAGACGCUGAGGCUCGAAAGCGUGGGGAGCAAACAGG